CCAAUAGCGUAUAUUAAAGUUGUUGCAGUUAAAAAGCUCGUAGUUGAAUUUUGGAUUCUACCGGUCGGUCCAUCUUUUAGAUGAGUACUGGUCGUGUGGGGUCUAUCCGCCUGGUAAUACGUAAUGUCCUUUAUUGGAUGUUUUGGGUAGUCAGGACCUUUACCUUGAAAAAAUUAGAGUGUUUAAAGCAGGCUUAUGCCGGAAUACAUUAGCAUGGAAUAAUAGAAUAGGACGAAGUUGUUUUAUUUUGUUGGUUUCUAGGACAACCGUAAUGAUUAAUAGGGAUAGUUGGGGGCAUUAGUAUUCAAUUGUCAGAGGUGAAAUUCUUGGAUUUAUUGAAGACUAACUAUUGCGAAAGCAUUUGCCAAGGAUGUUUUCAUUAAUCAAGAACGAAAGUUAGGGGAUCGAAGACGAUCAGAUACCGUCGUAGUCUUAACCAUAAACUAUGCCGACUAGGGAUCGGGCGAUGUUGUUUCAAUGACUCGCUCGGCACCUUAUG
rnacentral:rRNA from 1 species